rnacentral:rRNA from 1 species
GUGUCAGCCGCCGCGGUACUACCGGCAGCCCGAGUGAUGGCCGAUCUUAUUGGGCCUAAAGCGUCCGUAGCUGGCCGCGCAAGUCCGUCGGGAAAUCCACCUGCCCAACAGGUGGGCGUCCGGCGGAAACUGUGUGGCUUGGAACCGGAAGGCUCAGAGGGUACGUCCGGGGUAGGAGUGAAAUCCCGUAAUCCCGGACGGACCACCGAUGGCGAAAGCACUCUGAGAAGACGGCUUCGACAGUGAGGGACGAAAGCUAGGGUCUCAAACCGGAUUAGAUACCCCGGUAUCC